rnacentral:rRNA from 1 species
CGCGUAGGCGGUGUACACAGUCAGGCGUGAAAUUCCCGGGCUCAACCUGGGGACUGCGCUUGAUACAUGUGCGCUUGAGUUCGGAAGAGGGUCGUGGAAUUCCCAGUGUAGAGGUGAAAUUCGUAGAUAUUGGGAAGAACACCGGUGGCGAAGGCGGCGACCUGGUCCGAUACUGACGCUGAGGCGCGAAAGCGUGGGGAGCAAACA